rnacentral:rRNA from 1 species
UACGGAGGGUGCAAGCGUUAUUCGGAAUUACUGGGCGUAAAGCGCACGUAGGCGGCCUUGUAAGUCAGGGGUGAAAUCCCACGGCUCAACCGUGGAACUGCCUUUGAAACUGCAGGGCUUGAAUCCUGGAGAGGGUGGCGGAAGUCCUGGUGUAGGAGUGAAAUCCGUAGAUAUCAGGAGGAACACCGGUGGCGAAGGCGGCCACCUGGACAGGUAUUGACGCUGAGGUGCGAAAGUGUGGGGAGCAAACAGG